GUUGGAGUUGAGUGGGGGAAAUUGAGUUGGGGAUUCAGGAUUUAUUACUAAAACUUAAUUUGGAUCGGCCAGUCUAUUUAUUAGUCAUCUUCAUUCUUUUCAGGUUAAUAACGUUUAUUCAUUAUUACAUUUAGAUCAAUAGAGCUCAUAGUUUUAGUAUGCUAAGGGGGGGUUGAUUUAUGGGGAAGUGCGGGAGAACAGAGGACUUGUCAGUGGGGAAGUGAUUACAGGUGUAAAGCGGGGAUCUGGAUUUCAGGAGUGUCACCCCUGGAAAAGUGUUAGAGCGGGGAUCUGGAUUUCAGGAGUGUGUUCCUCUCCAGAGGAUAGGUCUGGAGAGGUGAGUCAGGAAGUUGUCUCCAUGAGGAGUUCUUCAUUAGACUGUUGUUGAGUCUGCCUAUCGUAAAUCUCGAUGCCUGAAUAAUACAUAUAUUUGCUACGUCAUGGUCCAGCGUUUCUGUUCUGAUGUGCGCAUUGUGCCAAGAACUUUACUAAUAGUCCACUUCAAAAAUACAGACCAUUUGACCUCAUAUUUCACAAUCAGAAUAUCACAUUGUUGAAUUCAUCAUUCCUCAAAUCAUAAUGGGUCAUCCUCACUGCAAAAAUAACAACCUAACACACUUGAGUUUAUGUUUCAGUUGAUUUAUUAGCAUGAACAGUCAGAAAAACAGUUCACAAAACAGACGUUAAGUCUGAAGAAAAAAAAGGAAAAAUGAAGAGGUAAAUGUUAAAGAAGUGAGGGCCAGAGACAGAGCUGACCAGCAGCAUCACUUUAAGACACUGACCAGAUGAUGGCUAUUACAUUGUUGGUGGAUAACCUUUUUAAAGGGCUGCAGGGUACAUAACCUUUGGAAAUAUUUAAACAUUCAUGUGGUGGCCAUUAACAGUGAUGCAUGUUAAAUCCUCUGACCUGUGAGGGGUUGCUUCCUCAGACUUGCAGUCAGUGGACAAGCUGGGAUCAUUAAUUUUGGUAAUAGCUGAAGAAUCCACAAUGAAUACUCCCCAUUUUCCUCAAGUAUCUGAAGAUAAAACUACUUAGUACUCUGAAAUUUUCACCUAACUUAAUGAAAUUAACUUUGAUUUGACUCUCAAAUGACUUUGGCCUUUGGUAAUGAAGUGGUUCAGCAUGAUCAUUGUGUCUGUUAUCAGCAGUCAUACCAAGGAAAUGACUUUGCUCUAUAAAUCAGCGGGCUUACCUCUCAGGUGAGUUGUCAACACAUCUGUCUUGAGAGUGUCUGAGGACUUCAAAUGUCAAGGGUUAGAAAAUCUUCCAUUUACACAGAGUGGCAUGUAGCAAAGGUCACAGACACCUUGCUGCUGCCAGAUCCAACUAUUUAGCCAUGAACCUGCUCUAACUUUCCUUAUAAGCAUGAGCCUGUGAAAGUAUGACAACAAUAAGCAAAAACUUCACCACAGCAUUGGCAUAUUGCAUGAUAACUGCUUUAAAAUGUGUUAUUUUGAAAUGUCUGGGACUUUGAAUACAAACCGACAAUGUAGUUUUCAUUAAACACAAUUAUUUUUAUCAGACUAAUUUAUUUAUGAUUUGUCAGCUGAAUCAGCAACACUACUGGGGCCUACUGAACCAAACAGUGCAGGUUUGAGGCCAAAGACUGAGGAUCCUGAAAUAGUCUUUCUGCGUAUUCAGACACUCUUCCUUUUCCACUCUCUCCCCCUAAGAGCAACUCUAUUAAAAGCAAGCAUGUGGCCUGCAAGCAAACUGCAGUCAGCGGGCUAACAUGCAUACUCUCUUACCACACUGUUGGGCUGCUUAAUGCACUUUCACUGACCUUCUUUCAGUGACUGACGGGGGUAGAACAUGAGCAUGCUUAUGGUCUUUGAACAAAACACUAUUCUUUGAAAGAGUCGGAUUCAGGGUUUUUGCUUUUCCUCUAAUUUUAUUACUAUGGCGCUUAUAAUUCCAUCUCUUUAUAGCUUUACAUAAAAACAGUUCAGUUUUCGAGAGGUUCAGGUUUCGGUUCAGGGUAUUACUUAGUACUGUGCGUUAAAAGAGUUCCAGGGUCAUAGCUUGUAUUACAAUGACAUGUCACCAACAGCCUUCCUGUAUGCCAUCCACUAACUUUCUAUUUCACACAAGCUAGUUUUGUUAGACUCGAUGGUUAAAACUGACAGCUUCUUAAUACAUAUCCAAAAAGCAGCAACAGGUGUGAGCUGUGCAGCCAUUGUGCAGAGCCGGAGCUUGUCAAGAGGCAAGGCAGAUAGUUGCUUGGGGCCCCAGGCCACUAGGGGGCUGACAAACCUUAGUCCACAAAAAAGUCCUAACUUAUUGCAACCCUAUUAAACAACCAGUGGUCAAAUUGCAAUGACAUCUUAGAUGGUUACCCCCCUCAAGGGGCCCCAUGUCAUCCCUGUCGCAUUGCUUUGUGAGCGUGUCAAUCAAAGUAACGUCAAAAUCAGCCGUGAGGUGGAGUUACUUAUCAGGGAGUGAGAAAAGAAAGAAAUAAGGACAAAGCAAGACAGUGGUAAGUGGAGCAGAUAGCGAAGUGUGGCAAACACUUUAACUAACAUUCGUAAGGCUGGCUGUUAAUUGUUUGGUAGUUAGUUAGCCGUGUACGCGGAGCGGGAGAUGUUAGCCUGGGGUUUCCACUUUGUUGACUUGCUGUUACCCUCUGUUGACACACCCGCACUGUCUUGUGAGGUUAGCUGACAGAGAGAAAGCGCAGUUGUAAGGUACAAAAAUGAAAUGUCACCAAAGUAACUAGAACACCAGUAAGGGAGUGUUUUGGAUGGAAAAAAACAGCUAACCCAGACAACAACUUUCACCGUUAAUGAAACACUAUUAAUGAAAGUUGUGUCUUAACUAGCCUAACCCUUUGCUUUGAAAUUUUGAUCUAAAUUUAGACAGCGUGCUUUCUGCAUGAAAGACUAUCAACUUUGAAGCAUAUAUCAUACUGAAGUAAGUCUCAGACAUCAACUCUUAGAACAAAGGUGAGGUGUUGGCUAUGUGGUAAAACAUGCAAGAGCUGUAGCUAUUUUAAAGCACAAUUUUCAAGCUAUGCAGUAAUGAUGCUAAUUGUUUUUUAAAAAGUUUCUGUUCCUUACCUCUUUUGUUGGUUUUAGAUCAUUUAUAUGUUUAACGGUUGUCAGAGGGGCCCCUUGAAUUUUUGCUUGGGGCCCCGACACACUCUAGAAUUGGCUCUGCCAUUGUGCUCUCAGCACCAAUAAGGCGAGGAGCAGCCAGAGGGCUACUGAGCAUGAGACAGCUGCAGACACGUGUCAAAGCCGGAUGGUGCAAUUCUGCACAGUUACUGUCAUUAGCUGGUAAUUCAGGAUCUUAACCCUGAUUAGUUAUUGACUUAGAGAGGAUAAUUAAGAAAGAACAAAACUAAGAACAAAGGGGGCAGCACACAUGGUCAGACACAAAAAGAAUAUUUCAAUGAAUUGUAGUUGGUGACAUGAGAUGAUUGAAGUUCAGAAUUAAGACAAAAAAAUUGAUGAAAUAAUGUUGCCCACUGUAGCUUUUGGAGUCUUAAAUUGUUCUGCAGCCUUUAAAAAGCGACUGAAAACAGUGAUUGUUCCACUGCUUGAGCUGCUGAGGGCCUGUGCAGAGUCAACACCACAGACUGUCAGAGCAGGGACUGGAUAACAAACAAAUAAAGACACAAACAAACUGAACAAUCCUUCUGUUGUUCUUUUCCUAACUACAAGCAAAGCCCCUGACAAGUUGCAGCCUAAUUCUGUAUUUCAACAAAAUAGUAUUGGAUAUCUGUCAGGUCUUUUACCCAUCUGACAUUGCACUUGGGUAAAACCAAGCUCGUUUGGCCUGUUCUUUGUCCUAACCUGGAGACCUUUUAAUUGUGGAUCAUAUCUUUUUAGCUUGGUUAUAGACGUUUUACUUGGUUGUACUGCAAAAGAUCACUUUCUCCUUUUGGGGGGCUCACAUCAACAUCUGUACCUAUAAGAUGAAUAAAAUAUUAAUUCUUAUUGUCCAUUUAGUAAUCUUCAAUGAACCCUUAUGUGAUGCUACCUAGCAUUACAGCUCUUAGAAAGAACAUCCAAAUGGGACGAAUGGUUUAACUGUUCCUGUUUCUGUGGUAUGUUUCUGUGGUACAGUUGUAUUUGUAUUCCC
rnacentral:lncRNA from 1 species